rnacentral:lncRNA from 1 species
AGAACAUCACCCCUCCUAUUAAAAAGAGCUGUGCUGUGAGAAAAAAACUGGAGGCAGCUCUGUAGAGUGGUGUUCUGGAGGCAGCUUUGUAGAGUGAUGUUCUGGAGGCAGCUCUGUAGAGUGGUGUUCUGGAGGCAGGUUUGUAGAGUGGUGUUCUGGAGGCAGCUUUGUAGAGUGGUGUUCUGGAGGCAGCUCUGUAGAGUGGUGUUCUCGAGGCAGUUCUACGGAGUGAUGUUCUGGAGGCAGCUUUGUAGAGUGGUGUUCUGGAGGCAGCUCUGUAGAGUGGUGUUCUGGAGGCAGCUCUGUAGAGUGGUGUUCUCGAGGCAGUUCUACGGAGUGGUGUUCUGGAGGCAGCUCUGUAGAGUGGUGUUCUCGAGGCAGUUCUAUGGAGUGGUGUUCUGGAGGCAGCUCUGUAGAGUGGUGUUCUGGAGGCAGCUCUGUAGAGUGGUGUUCUGGAGGCAGCUCUGUAGAGUGGUGUUCUGGAGGCAGCUUUGUAGAGUGAUGUUCUGGAGGCAGCUUUGUAGAGUGAUGUUCUGGAGGCAGCUCUGUAGAGUGGUGUUCUGGAGGCAGCUUUGUAGAGUGAUGUUCUGGAGGCAGCUCUGUAGAGUGGUGUUCUGGAGGCAGCUUUGUAGAGUGGUGUUCUG